GAUGAACGCUAGCUACAGGCUUAACACAUGCAAGUCGAGGGGUAACGAGAGGGAAGCUUGCUUUCCUUGUCGACGACCGGCGCACGGGUGAGUAACGCGUAUCCAACCUGCCCCCAACUAGGGAAUAACCUUGCGAAAGUAAGACUAAUACCCUAUAAUUUCCUCAGAUGUCAUCUGACGAGGAAUAAAGAUUUAUCGGUUGUGGAUGGGGAUGCGUCUGAUUAGCUUGUUGGCGGGGUAACGGCCCACCAAGGCAACGAUCAGUAGGGGUUUUGAGAGGAAGGUCCCCCACAUUGGAACUGCGACACGGUCCAAACUCCUACGGGAGGCAGCAGUGAGGAAUAUUGGUCAAUGGGCGGAAGCCUGAACCAGCCAAGUAGCGUGCAGGAUGACGGCCCUAUGGGUUGUAAACUGCUUUUAUACAGGAAUAAAGUUAGCCACGUGUGGUUAUUUGUAGGUACUGUAUGAAUAAGGACCGGCUAAUUCCGUGCCAGCCGCCGCGGUAA
rnacentral:rRNA from 1 species